rnacentral:rRNA from 1 species
UUUCAAAUUGAGAGUUUGAUCCUGGCUCAGGACGAACGCUGGCGGCGUGCCUAAUACAUGCAAG